UAGGGCCACGUCGAUACCAAGGCCCAGGCGGGAGUUUUCUCGAGGCUGGUAGUUGGAGAUUUAUCCACUUCGGCGCCAUGUCUGCCGCCACUAGCUCCUCUGCGGUCAAGCGCCACGCGAGAAAGUUGUUUGCUCCAUCCAUGGCCUUGGCCGCGCAACCGCCGUCGGGAUGCUGUCGUUGGUAUUGUGCCCUUGCUGCAGAUUCCGGUCAACCAUCUGCCUAGUUUCUAAAUACGAUGCAAAUAUUGAAGGGUUUUGUACAAAUACCCUAAUCACCGUGUAAGAUUCAUGUUUGUCCUUUAUUUUUUUGCAUAUGGAAUGCAUUCCUCUGUUUCUCA